rnacentral:rRNA from 1 species
UACGGGGGGGGCAAGCGUUGUUCGGAAUUACUGGGCGUAAAGGGUUCGUAGGUGGCCGGCUAAGUCAGACGUGAAAUCCCUCAGCUCAACUGGGGAACUGCGUCUGAGACUGGCCGGCUUGAGUGCAGGAGAGGAACGCGGAAUUCCAGGUGUAGCGGUGAAAUGCGUAGAUAUCUGGAGGAACACCGGUGGCGAAGGCGGCGUUCUGGACUGCAACUGACACUGAGGAACGAAAGCCCGGGGAGCAAACGGG